rnacentral:rRNA from 1 species
UACGGAGGAUGCGAGCGUUAUCCGGAUUUAUUGGGUUUAAAGGGUGCGUAGGCGGAUCGUUAAGUCAGUGGUCAAAUUGAGGGUCUCAACCCCUUCCCGCCAUUGAAACUGGCGAUCUUGAGUGGAAGAGAAGUAUGCGGAAUGCGUGGUGUAGCGGUGAAAUGCAUAGAUAUCACGCAGAACCCCGAUUGCGAAGGCAGCAUGCCGGCUUCCUACUGACGCUGAAGCACGAAAGCGUGGGGAUCGAACAGG